AGAGUUUGAUCCUGGCUCAGGACGAACGCUGGCGGCGUGCCUAACACAUGCAAGUCGAACGGAGUUACGGGAGCUUGCUCCUGUAACUUAGUGGCGGACGGGUGAGUAACGCGUGAGCAACCUGCCUUACAGAGGGGGAUAGCCAUUGGAAACGAUGGAUAAUACCGCAUAACGUAUGGACAUGGCAUCAUGAACAUACCAAAGGAGCAAUCCGGACUGUAAGAUGGGGCUCGCGUCCGAUUAGAUAGUUGCGGGGUAACGGCCCGACCAAGUCGACGAUCGGUAGCCGGACUGAGAGGUUGAACGGCCACAUUGGGACUGAGACACGGCCCAGACUCCUACGGGAGGCAGCAGUGAGGGAUAUUGCACAAUGGGCGAAAGCCUGAUGCAGCAACGCCGCGUGAGGGAAGACGGUUUUCGGAUUGUAAACCUCUGUUCUAAGUGAAGAUAAUGACAUUAGCUUAGGAGAAAGCCCACGGCUAACUACGUGCC
rnacentral:rRNA from 1 species